GCUGGGCGCGGUGCCUGUAGUCCCAGCUACUCUGGGAGGCUGAGGUGGGAGGAUCGCUUCAGCCUAGGAGUUCUAGGCUGUAGUGCACUAUGACGAUUGGGUGUCUGCAAUGAGUUCAGCAUCAGUAUGGUGACCUCCCGGGAGUGGGGGACCACCAGGUUGCCUAAGGAGGGGUGAACCGGCCCAGGUCAGAAACAGAGAAGGUCAAAACUCCCUUGCUCAUUAGUAGUGGGAUCGCACCUGUGAAUAGCCACUGCACUCCAGCCUGGGCAACAUAGCGAGACCUUGUCUCUU
ensembl:misc_RNA Metazoa_SRP Metazoan signal recognition particle RNA